GCCUGUGUGGCUCAGUAGGUAGAGUGUGGGACUCUUGAUUUUGGGAUUGUGGGUUCAAGCCCCACCUUAGGUG
rnacentral:tRNA from 1 species